UAGAAUGUGGUGUAACUUGGUAGCACGAAGAUUUUUGAAUUCUUAAGAGUAGGUUCGAUUCCUAUGGUUCUAG
rnacentral:tRNA from 1 species